ACAUGACUGCGUAUGCUGCGCAACCCAACUAGACCGAGGCUCCCAGCUACUACUCUGCUCCCAGCUACUACUCUGCUCCCAGCUACUACUCUGCUCCCAGCUACUACUCUGCUCCCAGCUACUACUCUGCUCCCAACUACUACUCUGCUCCCAACUACUACACCGAUUCUCCAGCUAAGUUCACCACCAAAGCGGUCGAAUACUACACAGAAGCGCCUAAGUACGUCGAGUGAGCAUCUUUCUGUUACCACACAAUAUCUGACACACACGGCAACAACUGCCGCGCAAAACUGCAUUCUUCGUCGUAUUAUCAGUACGCAAUCAUGGUCAACCAAUUGGUCGUGUUGCUGUUGGGUGUUGUAUCGUUGAUGACUGGGUCGUCCACGGGUGUACCGAUGCCUUCUGGGUGUGGUGGAUACCAAACCCCGACGCCGCCGCCUUACUACAUAACGAAGUCAACAUACGCAAAAUAUAUUCUUACUACGCCGUGGCCCCCCAAGUGCUACACCACCAAGGUUCAAGAGUUGCGCGACAGGUAACGCGGUCCUGAUUUACAUCACCGAAGUGACUGAGUACUACACCACCGAUGCUCCCAAUUAUUACAACACCAAGUAUGCUGCCCCAAUCUACUACACCGAAGCCCCCAAGUACUACUCUGCUCCCAGCUACUAUACCGAGGCUCCAGUUUAUUACAAUACCAAGCGGUCGAAUACUACACCGAACCGUACAAGUACUACUCUGCCAUGAGCUACGCAACUACAACUGAGGCGGUCAAGUACUCCGUAGCCCAGACUUACAAGACAGCAACUGCUCCUUAGUACCUACUACGUUGAACAGAAAUACUAUACCAAGGCUUCAGUUUACUACACCAUAAUGUACGCUACACCUAGAUACUUCGACGAAGCCCCGAACUACUACACCGAAGAGGCCUCAUAUUACAUAACCACGUACACUGCCCUAGUUUACUACACUGAGUGACUCAAGUAUUACUCUGCUCCAAGCUACUACCAAACUGAGGCUCCCCUUUACUACACUAAGGCCACCGAAUAUUACGCUACAACCAAAUGUCAACUAUGGUGUCGUGCUGCUGUUGGUUGUAUCCUUGAUGGUUGGGUCGGUAACUGGUGUACCGAUUUUUCGUGGGUAUGGUGGAUAUCAAACCGUAACGCCGCCGUCCAACUCAACAUACGCAACAACCGAAUACUACACCACCAACGCUCCAUAGCAUUACAACUAUGAUGUCCCGAACUACUACACCGGAGCCGUAAAGUACAACUCGGCCUCAAGUUACACCACCAAGGCAUCGGAGUACUACACGACUGCGUAUGCUGCCCCAGUAUUUUACACCGUUUCCAGCUACUACUCCGUUUCCAGCUACUACUCCGUUUCCAGCUACUACUCCGUUUCCAGCUACUACUCCGUUUCCAGCUACUACUCCGUUUCCAGCUACUACUCCGUUUCCAGCUACUACUCCGUUUCCAGCUACUACUCCGUUUCCAGCUGAUUACGCCACCAAAGCGGUCGAUUACUACACCGAAGUGUUUGAGUGCUACUACUCUGCCCCGAAUCACUACACAGCGGCUUCUCCUUCGUACUACGUUGGACCGAAAUACUACACUUGAGGAUUCAAUUUACUACACUACAACCUUCACUAUACCCAGGUACUACACCGAAGUCCGCAAGUACUACAGCGAAGAAGCCGUAUAUUACACUACAACCUACGUUGCUCCCAGCUACUACACUAAAGUUCUUAAGUACUACUCUACCAAGGCACCUGGGUAUUAUACCACCACUUACGCUGAUCCAACCUACACCGAUUCGAAGUAUUCCACUGCCCCGAGUUACUCCACCACUAAGGCACCUGGACAUAACAUCUCAACCUAUGCU